UUACUACAUUUCAUGAGGGUAAGGGAUGUGUUAACUUGGGUUUUCAUUCCUACUCUUCAUUGUGAAUAACAGUUGAUGCUUGGCUCGAUAAGCAGGCUUAACAAAACCAUUCUUGCUAAUUACCUUGUGUAGUUGUGUUGAUAUUUUCUCUUCAACCUGUUCAGAGAUGUUAUUACGCAGCUCUGGAGCAGGUGGAACUUGAACCAGGGGUGAGGACACCACUACUGCGCCACAAGAGUUAAUGCAAAAGGAUCAGAAUUUCCCAAGCUUUAGCAAGGCAAGGAAUGACAUGCCUUGAGUCUGGAACCUUGGACCACUCAGCCGUCUCUCUGUAACACCUGUUACUUAGACAAAAGCAUUGUUUUAAAAACUGAAAUUCAGUCGGCAUUUGUAAAGGAAACACAACAUUUCAGGAAAUUUUGACCCAAUGGCC